CCCAAAUAUUUUUGUCACCGUUUAUCGAAUUACACUGUGGUUUCGAGUAGCUGCCUAAUUUCGCGCCCCCUACCGCUAGUCUAUCCCGCGAGAGCGAUGCGGGCGCAGGUUACAGAGUUUGAGGAUCAACCCGGUGCGUGAGACCGGCGUCACCAACUAACAUGCCUUACGAAAGAAAUCAGCGUCGUCUCGAGGCUCUUUUGCAAGAAGCAGUAUCUGAUGAGGAUAGAUUACAAACGUCAUUGGAAAUUGAAUCUGGAAGUGACUUCGAACCAGAUAAUUUCGAACCAGAUCGCACGUAAUAGGUACCAACUUGCUCUAGUUGUUUGGCUGUUGAAGAUGAGUGAUUUUAGUAUUGUAUAUUUAUUUUUUUGGUCGAAGUAUUACCAUUUAUGUUACUUCAUUUUAUGUUUUCAAUGUCAUAAGACUGACUAAGCCUAAUUUUAUUGUUAAAUAAUUAACAUUGUUGUUUUAUUUUUGUGUUUUAAAAAACCUUUGUUAAAAUACUUGAAAAUUUUAGUUAUUUCAAAGAUAUUGUCUUAUGCUAAUAAAAGAGAUUUGAUUUAUGAAA